GGGCCGGUAGUUCAGUGGUAGAAUGCUCCCGUGGCAUGGGAGAGGUCGGGGGUUCGAGUCCCCCCCGGUCCA
rnacentral:tRNA from 1 species